rfam:Ixodes scapularis strain Wikel colony gcontig_1107729096592, whole genome shotgun sequence.
CCCUGGUUAGCUCAGUUGAUAGAGCGCUCCAUUCGUAAUGGAGAGGUCCCGGGUUCGAUACCCGGACCAGGCG